ACGCUGGCGGCGUGCCUAAUACAUGCAAGUCGAGCGAGCUUGCCUAGAUGAAUUUGGUGCUUGCACCAAAUGAAACUAGAUACAAGCGAGCGGCGGACGGGUGAGUAACACGUGGGUAACCUGCCCAAGAGACUGGGAUAACACCUGGAAACAGAUGCUAAUACCGGAUAACAACACUAGACGCAUGUCUAGAGUUUAAAAGAUGGUUCUGCUAUCACUCUUGGAUGGACCUGCGGUGCAUUAGCUAGUUGGUAAGGUAACGGCUUACCAAGGCAAUGAUGCAUAGCCGAGUUGAGAGACUGAUCGGCCACAUUGGGACUGAGACACGGCCCAAACUCCUACGGGAGGCAGCAGUAGGGAAUCUUCCACAAUGGACGCAAGCCUGAUGGAGCAACGACGCGUGAGUGAAGAAGGGUUUCGGCUCGUAAAGCUCUGUUGGUAGUGAAGAAAGAUAGAGGUAGUAACUGGCCUUUAUUUGACGGUAAUUACUUAGAAAGUCACGGCUAACUACGUGCCAGCAGCCGCGGUAAUACGUAGGUGGCAAGCGUUGUCCGGAUUUAUUGGGCGUAAAGCGAGUGCAGGCGGUUCAAUAAGUCUGAUGUGAAAGCCUUCGGCUCAACCGGAGAAUUGCAUCAGAAACUGUUGAACUUGAGUGCAGAAGAGGAGAGUGGAACUCCAUGUGUAGCGGUGGAAUGCGUAGAUAUAUGGAAGAACACCAGUGGCGAAGGCGGCUCUCUGGUCUGCAACUGACGCUGAGGCUCGAAAGCAUGGGUAGCGAACAGGAUUAGAUACCCUGGUAGUCCAUGCCGUAAACGAUGAGUGCUAAGUGUUGGGAGGUUUCCGCCUCUCAGUGCUGCAGCUAACGCAUUAAGCACUCCGCCUGGGGAGUACGACCGCAAGG
rnacentral:rRNA from 1 species